GCUGUGGUGGUGUAAUGGUCAGCAUAUUUCCCUAGUAAGCAAAAAGACCUGGGUUCGAGUCCCGGCCGCAGCG